UUCAGGAGCUAUAUCACCCUGUAGCAUAAGACUGGUCACCCACUGAAGCCAAGCAGGGUUGAGUCUGGUCAGUACCUGGAUGGGAGGCCAGCAGGGGGAGCUCAUCCUGUGUGAGUCCUAAUGCCCCAGUAU
ensembl:rRNA 5S_rRNA 5S ribosomal RNA